GAAGAGCCUUCGGGCCAUUGAUUGCAUUCCUGUCGACGACAUCUUAGGCAUCAUUGGAGGAGAGUCGUUAUAUUAUAGUGGAUGCUAGAAGCACUUGGAGGGAAACAACUCAUAGCACAGGUAUGAAUCAUCAAUCGACGUGAAAGUCAAGUACUGGUUUAACCAAUACGUUAUAACAAUAAUAAUAAUAAUAAUACUAAUAACUCCACGAGUGGUUUAUAGCGGAAAAAAAGAGGAAACACUUUUCACUUAAACAACUAAUAAAUUGGUGAGACAUUGGAACUACAGCUUGGAAUGAGUUGAUUGUGAUUUUUCUAAUUUAUUAUACCCUAUGGUGUGCACCAACUGGUCCUCAACGGGUUGUUGUGAAUAUUAGUUCAAUAUUUUUAGGCAAUAAUCCAUUCACUUUAAAAGCAAAGUUUUAAGUUAUAUAUAUAUAUAUGAAUAGAGGGAGAGAUCUAUAAGUAUUCAUUCAUAGACUACUUUAGACACGGUAUACACUUCAAAAAUAUACUGUAUAUAUAAGUUUACUAUUUUUAUUUAUACUGUAUAUCCUCCUCACACACACACCAAAAGCCUACUCUUCACGGAUCCCCCGACUGUGUUAACUAUUUGUGAGGUUAUGCCGACACCAAUCCUACCAUUUUUGAUAGAUAAUAUAGUGGAUAUAUAUCACCGUUUUUGCGGUCGUUUUUAACAAAAAAAAUAAUAAAUAAAUAACUUUUUUUUGUCACAGUGUGACAUUGUAUGUGUGUGUGUGUCUCAUAUACUGCCCACCACUUGUGAUAUUUGAUUGACGAUAGAGAGAGUCUUGUGGCUAUAAAGAGUAAAUACUUGAAACGCCCCGAGACUAACAUACUGUCCAUCGGAUAGAUAUCCAACAGUGACGACCCAACACUAUCACCACUACAACAACUACAAGAGAAAAAAAAGAAGAAUAAUUGUUACAAUUGUUGUGAUCUAUAACUUCUAUCUAAAGACUAUAUACCACUAUAUGAGUCCUAAAUGUGCUAAAUAUAUGAACGACUUUUAAUGCACCCGAAAGAGACCCAUCAAAAGAGUGGUCCGAAAAAGUGAUUACCAAUUCUUGUGAGAGAAGAAGGAGAGAGAAGACUACAAGACCUUGAAUUCAAUUGGUUUUCUCAAAAGAUUCCCUCAAAAGAAAUACAGCUCUCAUCUCAUAUAUAAACUCAGAUCAGUUUGAAAUACACCGCUUGACUAGUAUUAUGGUGUGAUCCCUGAGCUCUAUUGGUGUGUCGGUAUAUAUAUAGAUAUCUCAGUGUUAGUGUUUUUAUUUUUAUUAUAAACAUUUAAAAUAA